ACUGAAAGAGCUGGCACAGUUGUGCUCGCCUGUAACCCAGCAGCUCAGGAGGCUGAGGCAGGAGGAU
rnacentral:miRNA from 1 species